UACGAGUGCCCCGAGCGUUAUCCGGAAUUAUUGGGCGUAAAGGGUGUGUAGGUGGUUUUGUUAGUCUUCUGUUAAAUCUCCCGGCUUAACCGGGAACAUGCAGAGGAAACGGCAAGACUAGAGGAUGUGAGAGGUUUGCGGAACUCAUGGUGUAGGGGUGAAAUCCGUUGAUAUCAUGGGGAACACCAAAAGCGAAGGCAGCAAACUGGCGCAUUCCUGACACUGAAACACGAAAGCGUGGGUAGCGAAUGGG
rnacentral:rRNA from 1 species